UGAUCCACAUACCGGAGACGAGUUAUUCCAAUCCCUUUAUCAUUCUCUGAUGUUUCUUGCUCCCCCAGGCUUUUACGGGUUGCUUGAAUUUGGUCACUUAUUGCAUCGCGCAAGCACCGAAAGUGGCGGGAUAUAGUCUGGAGGGCAAGUGCCGAGUAUGGUUUAGCUGCCCCACAUCCCGCUAUCACAUCAAAUGAUGACACCACAAUCUGCAUCUGAUGAUAAUACUGUCUGUACCUUCUAUCAACCUCAUCCAACAUGGACAAAAGCUUACUCAACUUAUUCUGCAAUUCUUGUCUUUCAGCAUGUGAAAGCUCACUUGGAAAGUUAUUGGUGGAUUCCUGAGGGUCUGCAGACCCAUUCUUUGAUUUGCUGUCACCUCUUUUUGAACUAUUCAGCCCAUGCUCAUUUGUGCUUUGGUUUUUCUC
rnacentral:misc_RNA from 1 species